UACGUAGGGCGCAAGCGUUGUCCGGAAUUAUUGGGCGUAAAGAGCUUGUAGGCGGUUUGUCGCGUCUGCUGUGAAAAUCCGGGGCUCAACCCCGGACUUGCAGUGGGUACGGGCAGACUAGAGUGUGGUAGGGGAGACUGGAAUUCCUGGUGUAGCGGUGGAAUGCGCAGAUAUCAGGAGGAACACCGAUGGCGAAGGCGGGUCUCUGGGCCGAUACUGACGCUGAGGAGCGAAAGCGUGGGGAGCAAACAGG
rnacentral:rRNA from 1 species